UGUGAUUAAUAGAGGGGAUGGUAAA
rnacentral:piRNA from 1 species